rnacentral:tRNA from 1 species
GCGGGUAUUGUAUAACGGUAUUAUGCAACCUUCCCAAGGUUGAGACACGGGUCCGACUCCCGUUACCCGCUCCA